rnacentral:rRNA from 1 species
AACGAACGCUGGCGGCAUGCCUAACACAUGCAAGUCGAACGAGACCUUCGGGUCUAGUGGCGCCCGGGUGCGUAACGCGUGGGAACCUGCCCUUAGGUUCGGAAUAACUCCCCGAAAGGGGUGCUAAUACCGGAUAAUGUCUUCGGCCCAAAGAUUUAUCGCCUUUGGAUGGGCCCGCGUUGGAUUAGCUAGUUGGUAGGGUAAAAGCCUACCAAGGCGACGAUCCAUAGCUGGUCUGAGAGGAUGAUCAGCCACACUGGGACUGAGACACGGCCCAGACUCCUACGGGAUGCAGCAGUGGGGAAUAUUGGACAAUGGGCUAAAGCCUGAUCCAGCAAUGCCGCGUGAGUGAUGAAGGCCUUAGGGUUGUAAAGCUCUUUUACCCGGGAUGAUAAUGACAGUACCGAGAGAAUAAGCUCCGGCUAACUCCGUG